rnacentral:rRNA from 1 species
GGGGCUAAUACCGGAUAACACAUGAAACCGCAUGGUUUCAUGAUGAAAGACGGUUUUGCUGUCACUUAUAGAUGGAUCCGCGCCGCAUUAGCUAGUUGGUAAGGUAACGGCUUACCAAGGCAACGAUGCGUAGCCGACCUGAGAGGGUGAUCGGCCACACUGGAACUGAGACACGGUCCAG